ensembl:lncRNA
UUGUUCAUUUCCAAGGCAAACAUACACAGAGAAGAGAGGAAAAAGAGAUGGUCAUGUGCACGCACUCCCAAACCUGAUGGAGGGUGAUGGGGAACACAGUACCAGAAACACAUCCACUGACUAAGAUGGUGUGGUGGGCACAAUAACAGCCCCCUAAAGAGGCCCACACACUAACCCCUGGAGCCUUGUAAAGGGGACUUCACAGCUGUGAUUAAGUGUAUGGACCCCGAGACGGUGCUAUUACCCUGGAUUAUCCAGGUGGACCUAAUCUAAUCCCAUGGGUCUUGAAAAGCCAGAGCCUGUCCCAGCCUAGUUCUGUCAGAGACAGAGAUGUGAUGAUGGAAGAAAGGCACAAGGAGAUGCCACACUGCUACUUUGCUAACUGUGAAUCCCCAGAUCACGGUACCUUCUUCCACUCCCUGCCUGGCCUUCAACCUUGAUUCUUGCCUCAGAUGAAGCUCCAACCCUCAGCAAUAAAAUCACGUGAAGACUAUCUUCAUUCAAGAAGUUCAAUGAAGGAAACAUUAUGAGUACCAGAAAUCUUAAACACACACACACACAAAGAGGUGAUCAGAAAAUUAAAGUAUGUUGAAGCAUGUUUUUUUGUUUUUAAGCUUCCUAAAAACGUGCAUAAAAGGAAUCAAAGGCCUCCCUUCUUAUCUAGGCUCUGUCAUUUAUUAGAUGGUAAGAUCUUGGUUAAAUCUUCGACUUUCUUCUAUAAACCAGUACUAAUAAUGUUUGCUUGUUUUCCCCACCCCACAAAGCAGAAAUAGUUAAUAUGACUAUUACAUGAUAGAGUCUAUAUACUCUACACCCCUGUACAAAAGUAAAAUCUUGCUACUAAUCAUUGGUUCUAGAUCAUUCACUGUCCUCUGGCCUUACAUUAUAAUAUUCUGAGACACUGUACCUUUCCUAGAGAUUAAUAAACAUUGAUAACAUUUUAGAAUUUCUUUUUUUCUGCCUGCCAAACUACACAAAUGAACUGCUGAUCUCUAGUGACUUACUUGAGAGUUGAGGGGAAAAUGUGUCCUUGAAAAAAAGUGAGCAAUUCCUGUUAGUGAAACAGCAAAACAUCCAUUGAUUUUUCUCAUAAAUUUCCCACAGAUUAUCUCUCUUAAAAUAUGUCCCACCUGAGCACAAGUAACCUCUGACCCAGUGUUUAUGCUAAGUUCCAUGGUAUGUGUUGUAGAGCCUUUGAACGUGUGGCACAGAAAAGCUCGUGGGGAAAUCCUCUUUUGUUGCCAUGAUACCACCAACUCAAUGUGUUGUCUUCACACUGGAAAGACCUAAGCAGACAAGAGGUCUUAGGAACAUUCCCUAAGUUCUUCUCAUGCUGUCAUUCAGGUUCCCCUGUAUUGUCUCUUGGUCACUGCUCAGUUUGGCAUUGUUGUUUUGGUUGCUCAGUCGUGUCUGACUCAUUGCGACCCCAUGGACUGUAGCCCACGAGGCUGCUCUGUCUACGGGAUUUCCCAGGCAGGAAUACUGGAGUGGGUUGCCAUUUCCUUCUCCAGUGAAUCUUUCCGACCUAGGGAUCAAAUCUACAUCUCCUGCAUUGAAGGCAGAUUCCUUCCCGCUGAGCCAUGGUGGAAGCCCCAGUUUGGCACAGGAAAAGAUAAAGUAACCCAGACUCUGAAGUCUACAAGAAUUCUUCAGAAAUCACAAGGAGGAAUCGGCAAACAAGUUAGGUUCCUGCAGAGCAUACAAUUCUAUGAAUUCUUACCAGAAAUAAAAAUCUGUGCCAUGAGAUUUAACAAAUAAAACCCUUUAACAACAAAUAGCAAUAUUUAUUCCUUUGGGCCCUUGAAAAAAUUAUGACUGACAUGGCUCCACUUAUUUGCAUGUCUGUUAUGCAGGGACUUGAACUAUUCAGAUGAUCUUAAACAUGGAAGGAAACCCAAAGCUUUCCAGUGAACUUUCCUCUCAAGAUGGGGAAGCUCUGAGACUCCCUCUGGCCAGAGUUGAUGAGCUUCAUAUCGUGUUUCUAACUAAGGUUAUUUAAUGAGCACGGUUCUCUGGUUUCCUGUGGCAGCCUUAAACUCUGCCCUCAGAGCCUGUGAGAGGAGGCCGUGAGGACAGUGAUGGAUGAGGGGAGAGAGGAAAACCAGCAAGGGGACCUCCACCGUCCGAGACCUCUGGGACUCUGCAGACAUUCCUGAACACCUCGGGGCUCUCUGAAGACCUCCCGAUUACAGCAGAGUUCGCUCAGCCACAGCCACAGUGGAGAAGCAGAAGCAUGGGGAAAAGAGACCCAUCUUUAGAGGCCCCUGUGUUCAGAAACAGCCUGUUGCAGUUCCCUGUCCUCUGUGCUCACACAGAGCAAACUAUCCCUCAGUCUGCAGCUCGGUGGAGCGGUUCAUGCCC